CUCAGCUGGUGCACUAGUACCGCAGUCCCAGCACCUUGCCCGGAAUCCCGUCACCCCGCAGGAUGGGGCAGGGACAGGUCAUCUUCAAGCCAAGGGAAGAGCAGGUUCACUGCCACCCGCGAUCCCCUUUUCUUCCUGGAUCUUACAGCCAGGCUAGGGGGCGUCGAACCCAAUGGGGCCUUAGAUCAUUCCUUGUCCGGAACAGAAUCUCUGCGGAACCGCCAGACAGACACACAGCUGCUGCUGCGGAUACUGGCUUCUUGGGGCCAAGACCUCAACAUGCAGGACCUCACAUUUCCAGCGAUGCACACGUUUUUUGAGAACAUCCCGACCUUUCCUCCUCCCCAGGAAGAUGCUGCAGACGUGCCCGCCAUCCCAGGUCUCGAAGAGCUCUUAAGGCAAACCUCCGGCACCCGGGCCACACCCACCGGCCGGCCCACUCUCCUCGCGCAUCCCCCAACCUGCCGGCCUAAGGGGAAUGGUUCCCUUCCCUGGCCACAUGGUAGACCCUUCUCCCAUCCAGCCCUUUCUCCCACACCAUCCCGAAAGAACUAUUCAUCCAUCCUUCCAGAACAGUACCCCGGCAAACGGCAUCUCUCACCUGGGUAUCGAACCCGUUUUCCACCGAGCCGCUCUUCCGCAGCGGGAGCCCCUCCCCCGCUGGCUCCUGCAGCCCCUGCAGCACCUGCGAUUUCAGGGGGAUCUGGCUAGGAUAGGUGGUCUUGCUCACCUCCACCUUGCUUCCCAACUUCAGGUAGCAGGGCUGGGGGCCCGCCCGGGCCGGGGGCACGUGCAGGAUGGGCGCGGCGCUGUGCACGGGUUUGGGCAGUCCCGACUUCAUUUUGGAGGCGACCAGGAUGGCCGGCAUCUUCUCCCGGGGCUUGGGCUUUCCCAGCACGUCCCUGGCAGCGGCGGCGGGGGCGACCGCUAAAGGCAGCGCGGGUAGCAGAGCAGGCGCCGGGCCUUAGCCCACGAGGCGCCCACCACCAGCGGCUAAAAAAAAAAUCCCCAGGUCGGGGAACUCGAAGCAAUCGGGCGAGCGCGCCUUUGGGGUGCCGGGAUGGGAAUGGGGGACUGGCCACGGCGCUCAGCGGGUCCCACCUGGACGGAUGCUGCCGCCGGGUCUCACACCUCUCCUGGGUGGCCUUUCAAGAGCUCUGGGCGCUCAGGGGCUGCCGCCUCUUGCAAAUUUCCUCCUGGGAAACAGAGGCUUGGACGCCCAUAUUAACUUGUCACUGCAUCUCCGAAGUGAGGAGGCCCCUUUGGAAGAGACAGAGGCGGCGGCGACCCACGAGUCCCGUUCCGGAGGCUACGGGUCUGAGCCGGCGAGAGAAAGAGCGAGCAGCCAAGGAAGGAAAGGAGACAGCAGCGAAGGAAGGAGAGAAGAAGGGCGCAAGGGUCCCAAGACGUCUCCACCGAGAGGCAGCUGCCACCCUGCUCGCGAGCACCGCAGUGUCACCCGCGACGCAGCAGAGGUGCGGCAAGAGCCCCCGAAAGGUCUCUCUUGGGGUGACAGUCACCGCUGCCCAGAAGGCCCCCGGACUGAGAGCACCUUAGCGCCUGCGGGUCUGCACAUGCUCCGUGAGCUAGAUAGAGGCAAGGCUGUGGCCGUGGGGCGCGGGCGCCGGGACGCGCGGCUGGCGGGCCGGGCAGGGCUGCGCUCGGGAGCGGCCGCC
rnacentral:lncRNA from 1 species